rnacentral:rRNA from 1 species
GAUGAACGCUAGCGGGAGGCUUAACACAUGCAAGUCGAGGGGUAAAGAGUAGUAAUACUUUGAGACCGGCGGACGGGUGCGUAACGCGUAUGCAACAUACCUUGUGCAGGGGGAUAGCCCGUGGAAACGCGGAUUAAUAUUCCAUAGAUCAGUAAUAUCGCAUGGUAUAACUGGUAAAGUUGAGGCGGCACAAGAUUGGCAUGCGUCUGAUUAGCUAGUUGGUAGGGUAAUGGCCUACCAAGGCAACGAUCCAUAGUUGGUCUGAGAGGAUGAUCAGCCACACUGGGACUGAGACACGGCCCAGACUCCUACGGGAGGCUG